UUUCGCAAUGCCCGAAAGGGUGACGAAGCGACGCCGCGUGGGUGAGGAAGGCCUUCGGGUUGUAAAGCCCUGUCAGGAGUUAAGAAAUGUAAGUGCGCUAAUAUCGCAUUUAUUUGACGAAGGCUCCAAAGGAAGUCACGGCUAACUCUGUGCCAGCAGCCGCGGUAAUACAGAGGUGGCAAGCGUUGUUCGGAAUUAUUGGGCGUAAAGAGCACGUAGGUGGGUUUGUAAGUCAGAUGUGAAAGCCUUCUGUUCAACGGAAGAAUUGCAUCUGAAACUGCAAGUCUUGAGUGUAGGAGGGGAGAGCGGAACUUCUGGUGGAGCGGUGAAAUGCGUAGAUAUCAGAAGGAACGCCGGCGGCGAAAGCGAUUCUCUGGCCUAUUACUGACACUCAGUGUGCGAAAGCUAGGGGAGCAAACGGGAUUAGAUACCCCGGUAGUCCUAGCCGUAAACGAUGGGCACUAAGUAGAGGGGUUUUA
rnacentral:rRNA from 1 species